GAUGAACGCUAGCGGCAGGCUUAAUACAUGCAAGUCGUGGGGCAGCAGGGUUGUAGCAAUACAAUCGCUGGCGACCGGCAAACGGGUGCGUAACACGUGCGCAACCUUCCCGUUACUGUGGCAUAGCCCAGGGAAGCUUGGAUUAAUACCACAUAUUAUAUUGAGGGGGCAUCCCUUUGAUAUCAAAGCUUCGGCGGUAACGGAUGGGCGUGCGGUUGAUUAGGUAGUUGGCGGGGUAACGGCCCACCAAGCCUACGAUCAAUAGCUGAUGUGAGAGCAUGAUCAGCCACACGGGCACUGAGACACGGGCCCGACUCCUACGGGAGGCAGCAGUAAGGAAUAUUGGGCAAUGGACGAAAGUCUGACCCAGCCAUGCCGCGUGAAGGAUUAAGGUCCUCUAGAUUGUAAACUUCUUUUCUCUGGGGCGAAAACCAGCUAUUCUUAGCUAUUUGACAGUACCAGAGGAAUAAGCACCGGCUAACUCCGUGCCAGCCGCCGCCGUAAGAC
rnacentral:rRNA from 1 species